AUUGAACGCUGCGGCAGGCUUAACACAUGCAAGUCGAGCGAGCGGCGGACGGGUGCGUAAGGCUUAGGACUCUGCCUAUUAGCGGGGGACAACAUCUCGAAAGGGAUGCCAAUACCGCAUACUCAUUGAUGAGCCUAAGUCGGAUUAGCUGGUUGGGGGGGUAAAGGCGUACUAAGGCGACGAUCUGUAGCGGGGCUGAGAGGAUGAUCCGCCACACGGGGACUGGGACACGGCCCAGACUCCACCGGGAGGCAGCAGUGGGGAAUAUUGGACAAUGGGGGGAACGCUGAUCCAUCCAUGCCGCGUGUGUGAAGAAGGUCUUAUGGUUGUAAAGCACUUUAAGCGAGGAGGCGUUACUCGCAGAAUAAGCACCGGCUAACUCUGUGCCAGCAGCCGCGGUAAUAC
rnacentral:rRNA from 1 species